UAGGUGAUGGUUGCAGACAAUGGAUAUCAAAAAUGGGAGGAAAAUGGGGCAAGUGGGAAAGUGGCUAGGUGGCUAGGGUAUCUUCCUUUCUCUUUUUGGUGGAAAAUGUUUAGUACUAGUGGGCUAGGUUUAGGGUUUGUGAAUUGGGUAUGUAAUGGACCAUUGGGUUUGGGCUGUUUAACUAUUGGGUUAUUUAUAAAUGGACUGGGCCAAAAUUGGCCUAUAACAGCUGCCCCUCUUUGCUCAUUAUCGUAUAACGGGUAUAGAGCAAAGACAUAAAGAAAGGCCAAUUUUGCCCAGUCUUGCCAAGUAUUGAUUUCUCUGGUGCUCUCCUUGUUCAGGUAGUCUCAUACUAGUCCACCGCAUCUUGUAGCUUUUGUUCAAUCCACUGCAUCUUCUGACAUAUGCAUUGUAGCUUCAACCUACUUCGAUGUAGUUUCGAGGGUAUGAAAUUUGUGGCUUCGAUCUGCUUCACUGUACUUCUGAAAGGUGAGAUCUACAACUUCAGUUUGCUCUUCUAUCGCUUCAGUGAGAUAAGAUUUGUGGUCUUUUCUUCUGCGACUUCAAGGGAACAAAAUCUGAGGUCUUCAAUCAGCUUCAAUCUUUAUUCUUUACUCAGCAUGUGAUCCUGAUCUCAACUCAUUUCUCGCAAUAGAAUUGAUUCCGUAGAAAUAGUCAUUAAAAAUAGAAAUUGAAAAAAAUAGCUCAGCACGUGAGUAAAGGCUCAACUCACUUCUCGCAAUAUGAGUUGAUUUUUGAAAAUAGAAUUUGCAAAACAGAUUUUGAAAAUACCUCGGCAUGUGACCCGAGGCUCAACUCACCUCUCGUAAUAUGAGUUGAUUUUUGAAAAGUAUAAAUUUAAAAAAACAUUAAUUGAAAAUAUCUUAGCGUGCCCCGAGGCUCAACUCACCUCUCGCAAUAUGAGUUGAUUUUUGAAAAACAUGAAUUAAACAGAAAUUGAAAAUACCUCAACGUGUCUUGAGGCUCAACUAAUUUCUCGCAAUAUGAGUUGAGUUUUGAAACAAAAAUUAACAAUACCUCAGCAUGUCCCGAGGCUCAACUCACCUCUCGCAAUAUGAGUUGAUUUUUUGAAAAGCAUAAAUUAAAAAACAUUAAUUGAAAAUACCUCGGCAUGUGAUCCUGAGGCUCAAUUCACCUCUAACAAUAUGAAUUGAUUUUUGAAAAACAUAAAUUGAAAAACGGAAAUUGUAAAUACCUCGACAUGUGACCUAAGGUUCAACUCACCUCUCGCAAUAUGAGUUGAUUUUUUUGAUGAACAGAAAUUAAAACUACCUCAGCGUGUCCUGAGGUUCAACUCACCUCUCGCAAUAUGAGUUGAUUUUUUUGAAAAAAUAGAUUGAAAAUACCUCAACGUGUCUUGAGGCUCAACUCACCUCUCGCAAUAUGAGUUGAUUUUUUUUUAAACAGAAAUAAAAAAUAUCAAAAUACCAAAAGAUGUCAACUAGUGGAACUCAGGUGUCUUUUCCUUUGAUUCAGUACAUCUAUCAUCACAUCCUCUCGCUCUACUGGAGUACCUGUAGAUGUCAUGCAUAACGUUAUCAUGAUAUGCAUAUGUUUGUCUUAAAUGCCUUUAUGCCUACAUGAUUAUACUAUGCGCCUUUGGCAUGUUUGUCUUAUGUCCUCUUUCGUCAUGAUUUUUGAUGAUCUGUGUUCAUUGCUUUGACUCUUGACUUUCUAUUUAGGCCCUGUACCCAUCCUCAAGCUUCAUGAGUAAUCUACAUUUCUCAGAUAUCACUCUUUUGCCCCUGGUUGAACUUUGUCCUUACGUUGAGGCUCUUGUACUUAUCAAGUUCUUAUCCAGGUAAUGCUUAACAUUUCUUUUGUUUAUAGUAUGUCAUUUCACUAUUUAUCAUGAAAAUAAACGACAUAAUGAGAUGCAUGAAAAUGGUCAGGUAGGGACAAAGGGAUACCUCACAUUUAUUUAUUUCAAACGUGGCAAACAAAGAAAGUUAACCAAUGAUAAUGAGAAAGUGUCAUAAAGAGAAAAGGAUCGCAUUCAUUGGAUACAGAUGCUCUAGAUAUUCAACACACGAACUCUUCCACGUUUCUUAUCAAGAAUCUUUUCUAGCAUGGCUUCUUGCGUAGAAGAUUUCGAGCUACUGAAAAAUGCUUCAAAUGCUGUAGUUUCAUUGUUUAACCCACCGUUCAAUCGUCUUGCUCUUUAAGCCUGGGUUUGCUUUAUUAGAAUGCCCUUUCGAGUUUUCAUCCUAAUCUUUUGUGUUAAUCAAGAUACCCUUUUUUUUAGGCAUAAUAUUUCUUCACAGCAUCUGAAUUCACUGGAUUAGGUAACUCCUUCCCAUCCAUCUCAAUGAGAAUCAAAGCUCCGCCCGAGAAUACCUUCUUUACGACAUAUGGUCCUUCCCAAUUUGGUGCCCAUUUUCCUCGUAAGUCCUUCUGUAUUGGAAGAAUCUUUCUCAGCACAAGUUCUCCUUAGUGGAAUUCUCUUGGCCGUAUUUUCUUGUCAUGGGUCGCGAUCAUUCUCUUCUGGUACAUCUGUCCGUGACAAAUUGCCUUUAAAUGUUUUUCUUCGAUGAGGUUUAACUGGUCAUAUCGAGCUCGAACCCAUUCUACCUCCUCUAGUUUCGAAUCCAUUAAGACUCGUAAAGAGGGGAUCUCAACUUCGAUAGGUAGCACAGCUUCUAUUCCAUAGACCAGAGAGAAAGGAGUUGCCCUCGUAGAUGUCCGUACAGAUGUGCGAUAUGCAUACAAAGCAAAUGGUAGCUUCUCGUGCCAAUCUUUAUAUGUCUCAGUCAUUUUCCCAAUACUCUUCUUAAUAUUCUUGUUGGCUGCUUCAACAGCUCCGUUCAUUUUCGGGCGAUGGGGUGACGAGUUAUGAUGCUUUAUUUGAAACUGCUCACACACUUCCUUCAUCAUCUUAUUGUUCAGAUUCAAGGCAUUAUCUGAAAUGAUUCUCUCAGGCAAACCAUAUCGACAAAUGAUUUCCUUUUUCAAAAAUUUGCAAACUGCAGUCUUUGUCACAUUGGCAAACGAAGCAGCUUCUAUCCAUUUUGUGAAGUAAUCAAUAACCACAAAAAAGAACCGGUGUCUAUUAGAAGCUUUUGGGGAAAUUGGCCCUAUAAUAUCCAUGCCACACAUAGAAAAGGGCCACGGAGAAGUUAUGACAUGAAGGGGCGAAGGGGCUACAUGAAUCUUAUCGCCAUAAAUUUGACAUUUGUGGCAUUUUCUUGCAAAACUAAUGCAGUCGCUUUCCAUCGUCAGCCAGUAGUAACCGAGUCUCAUAAUCUUCCUAACCAUAGUAAAACCAUUGGCAUGUGUCCCACAAAUUCCCUCGUGGACAUCUUCAAGUAUUUUUCUAGCUUCAACAGCAUCUACGCAUCUCAAGAGCACUUGAUCUUUUCCUCUUUUGUACAGGAUAUAUCCAUCAAGAACGAAUCCCGCUGCCAUUCUUUUGAUUGUUCUUUUGUCGUUCUCAUUUGCUUGUUCGGGAUACUUUUGAUUCUUAAUAUAUUCUAAGAUAUCAUGGAACCAUGGCCGUCCAUCCGGCUCUUUUUCAAUGCUUAAACAAUGUGCAGGGACUUCAUAUAUGCUCAUUUGAAGAGGUAUUAUUUCUGUUUCUUUGUUUACUUUGAACAUUGAAGCCAAAGUGGCCAGGGCAUCAGCCAUUUGGUUUUCUUCUCGUGGGAGGUAAUUAAAAAUUAUUUCUUCGAAUUCUUUAAUCAGCUCUGCCACUAGAUCACUGUAUUUGACCAGUUUCGAAUCUUUCACUUCCCAAUCUCCAGGGAUUUGGUAUAUCACCAAGGCUGAGUCUCCGCAUACCUCUAAAGUUUUGAUGUUUCGUCCAAUUGCUGCACGAAGUCCCAUGAUACAAGCCUCAUAUUCUGCUAUGUUAUUGGUACAGAAAAAGUUCAGCCUGGCAGUGAGUGGGUAAUGGUUCCCUUUUGGCAAUACUAAAACUACUCCAAUCCCAUGCCCCAAUGCGUUCAAUGCACCAUCAAAGCUCAUCUUCCAUGACUUCUUUUUUGAUGACUCGUAUUCUUUUUCUGCAAUGCACAUCAAGUCUUAAUCCGGGAAAUCAAAUCUCAAGGGCUCAUAUUCCUUUGUCGUUUGAGCAGUUGAGAAAUCAGCUAUUGCGCUCCCUUUUAUCGACUUCUGACUUACAUAGGCAAUAUCGUAUUCCGAUAGGAGGAUCUGUCAUCGUGCUAUUCUUCCUGAGAGUGCCAGUGAUUCCAUCAUGUACUUUAUUGGAUCCAGCUUUGAAAUUAACCAUGUUGUAUAAUACAACAUGUAUUGCCUGAGUCUCUGAGCUACCCAAACCAGAGCGCAACAGUAUUUUUCAAUGGAUGAAUACUUUGCCUCAUAUUCAUUGAACUUUUUACUGAGGUAGUAGAUCGCAUUUUCUUUCUUUCCUGACUCGUCAUGUUACCCCAGUACGCAACCCAUUGAAUUUUCGAACACAGUCAAAUACAAUAUCAAUGGUGUUCCCGGAGUUGGCGGUACUAGCACUGGAGGACUAGACAAAUAUUGUUUUAUCUUAUCAAAGGCCACCUGGCAUUCCUCAUUCCAUUCUCUCGGGUUAUGUUUUCGAAGAAUCUGAAAGAUUGGGUCGCAUUGGUUGGUAAGUUGAGCAAUGAAUCGGGCGAUUUAGUUUAACCUCCCUAAAAAUUCUCUGACUUCUUUUUGCGUGCGCGGAGGUGGUAACUCUUGAAUGGCUUUUAUUUUAUCCGGAUCAACCUCGAUACCUCUUUCACUGACAAUGAAGCCUAGCUACUUUCCCGAGGUAGCCCCAAACGUACAUUUGGCUGGAUUAAGUUUUAGCUGAAACUUUCUCAGCCUUCCGAACAACUUCUUGAGGUUCACCACAUGUUCUUCUUCCCCUCGGGACUUAGCGAUCAUAUCGUCGACAUAGACCUCUAUUUCUUUAUGCAUCAUGUCAUGAAAUAACGUCACCAUAGCCCUCUGAUAUGUUGCUCCAGCAUUUUUUUAGCCCAAAUGGCAUCACCUUGUAGCAGAAUGUUCCCCACAUUGUUACGAAGGUAGUUUUCACCAUAUCCUCAGGGGCCAUUUUGAUCUGAUUAUACCCCCGAGAAUCCAUCCAUGAAAGAAAACAAUGAAUGUUUUGCUGUGUUAUCUACCAACGUAUCAAUGUACGGUAAGGGAAAAUUAUCUUUAGGACUUGCUCGAUUUAGGUCACGAUAAUCCACGCACAUUCGUACUUUGCCGUCUUUCUUUGGCACCGGGACUAUGUUAGCCACCCAUUCUGGAUAUUUGGAAGCUUGUAAGAAACCCGCAUCGAAUUGUUUUUUGACCUCUUCUUUUAUCUUCAACAGCAUCUCAAGUCUCAUCCGUCUUAGCUUUUGCUGAAUGGGUUUGCAUUCUGGUUUUAACGGGAGCUUAUGAACCACUACAUCUUCACCCAAUCCUGGCAUUUCUUGAUAUGACCAUGCGAAUACAUCUUUAUACUCGCGGAGCAAAUCAAUCAAAUUAUGCCUGGUGCCCCCUGAAAUAGAGGUCCCAAUCUUCACUUCUUGCUUCAUUUCUUCAGUUCCCAAAUUUAUUGUUUCAACAGAUUCUUGAUGAGGCAAAAUCUGUUUAUCCUCUUGUUCCACCAUUCUUAGCAAGUCAGAAGACGAGACAUAGUCUUCAGUAUUUUCUUCGGCUUCGAAUUCUCCUAAACAAACAGCCUUCUCAAAAUCGAUUUCAGGACUCGUAACAGGUUUGUUCAUGCAAUUGAUAUUUGAGCACCUGAAAGUUGAAUGGAAAAGGAAACUAUAGAGGGGCAUCUAAGUAUUGAAACCAACAAACUUAGAAUGUUAUGGUAUGGCAUGAUGCAAAUGUAAAGAUAGGCUAUGAAAUGAUUAUGGAAUUAGUGAUAAUGCGAAAAAUUGUAAAAAAUGCAUCUUCAUUGAUAUUCAUUUAAAUGAUAAAUAGCGAAUGCAAGCUCUUACAAAAGAAUUCUAUUAUAUCUAAGGACAUAACAGAAUGUUAACGUUUGAGCAUUACUCUGAAGACUUAUAAACUACAAGAAGAUCCUCGGCAGUCCAAUUGUUUAACAUGAAACCCGGGGGACAAGGGCGUAUCUUCGAGACGUCUUUACUCGCGUCAGCUCCUUUGUCAAUGACAUUUAUACUGAUAUUCUGAAAACCCUCUUCGAUCAUUAACAUUGUGCUUUGUGCACUAUCCUGCCCCGGGUAUAUCAUUCUCGCAGACGUAAAUGUUCUUGACAAAAGAGGGAAUUCCAUAAGCUCCCAUUCUGGUUCUCGGCCUAAGGUUCUCGCGAUCCUUCUUUUCUGAUCUUUCUUCCACUGUCUUCUUCUUUGACGCAUGUCUGGCUAGAAACCUAAAUCGUAUCGGGCCUUGUGGUGUACUGGCCUUAGAGCCCUAACUAUUCCUUGCAGAUAUCUUCCUAAACCUCUUCUCGCUCGAGCUCCCCUUCCUAUAGUCAACUUGAUACCCAUCCUGGUAUUUCUCGAUAGUUUUGGCUCGGGAUUUUUGUUUCCCUCAGCGACAAAUGUGGUAUUCAUAAACUCAAGGGAUCGGAAGGAGCAUUCUAUAGCAUCUUUACUUACUUCAAUGUAUGGUGCGUCGGUGGAAAUAGAUGCUACAAUGUCUUCUUCUUCCUCAACAGUGACCAAACAGCCAUCCAUGAUAAAUUUCACCUUUUGAUGGAGGGAUGAUGGGACCGCUCCGGCGGAAUGGAUCCAGGGUUUUCCCAAAAGACAGUUAUACGAGGGUGUGGUGUCCAUGACUUGGAACUCGACAUUGUAAAUGUAAGGGCCCACUUCUAAAGGGAUAUCAAUCUUUCCCAUAACUUCACGCCUUGUCCCAUCGAAUGCCCUUACCAUAGAAUGACAGGGCCUUAAAUAGGACAGAUCUAUCGAAAUUCUGAAAAGCGUGGCCAAAGGCAUGACAUUGAGUGCCGAGCCAUUAUCGAUAAGCACAUUCGGUAUUAUGUAGCCCUUGCAAUGAGUCGUAACAUGUAGUGCUUUCACGGAGCCUCUACCAUUGGUGGUAUUUUGUCAUCACUAAAAGAAAUGAAAUUAUCCGCAUUCAAGUUGUUCACCCAUCUGUCCAGCUUCUCCACGAAUAUAUUGUUUGCCACGUAAGCUUGAUUCAACACAUUUAGCAAAGCGUUCCGGUGUGGCUCCGAAUUUAGCAGCAGAGAUAAAACUGAGAUUCGUGCUGGUUGCUUAUUCAAUUGUUCCACCACAUUGUAUUCACUGUGUUUGAUAAAUUUCAAGAACUCCUGUGCUUCCUCCUCAUCCACAGACUUUUUAGUUUCUUGCACAGGUGGAAUUUCUUGCUCGACUUCGACCUCAUGCAUCACUGCUUUCCCUUUUUGCUUCCAGUCACUGUUCUUCUUCACUGGUUCGACCUCUUUCGAAUAACAUCUUCCACUUCAGGUAAAAUGACCUACCUCUCCAACAUCUCCAAUUAUGGCUUUGAGCUUUUCAUCUUCUGGUGUGACGAUACUGAUGUCAUAUUUCCAUGGUACGGCUUUGUCAUCCUUGUACGGGAAAGGAGACGGUACUUCGAUUAUCAUUUUUGGUUUCACCGGCUCUUUCGUCGCGUCGUGAUAAAUUACUAACGGUCGAUCCGCGCUAUAAGGGAGACCUGAUGACUGGUUGUCAGAGGUGCAUACUUCUCUUUCGUUGGUCUCUUCCCUCUUGUUAAGGACCUUAAUCUUCUUAUUAUCCAUCCAGUCUUGAAGCAACCUUUUAAAUUCCUCACACGACUGAAUGUCGUGUCCUACAAUUCCAUGGAAAUUGUAAAAACUUUGACUUUCUUCUCCGAGAAUUCUAUCGGGGUGACAACGCAAUCCUUUCUUAACAAGUACCUCCCAGAUUUUCUGCAGAGGCGUCCUUAUUUCCGAAACACAUCUUCUGACUUUCCAUUCGUCCUCUUUCCCCACUGUACUCACAUUCCCUCCAGUAUGGUUAGGGAACGGGUUCCCAGUUGCGUUACUGGCACUAUCGAACCGUAGGAUACCCGCGUCAAUGAGUCAUUGAACUCUCCUCUUAAAGGCUAGGCAAUUCUCCGUGGAAUACCCCUAGUUCCCCGCGUGGUAUGCACAACUAGCGUUUGGAUCGUACCACUUUGGGUGUGGAGGUUUAAGGGGUGCCAUGUAAUGGGGAGAAAUCAGCUGUUUCUCUAAAAGUUUUGGGUAUAAUUCCCCAUACGACACAGGGAUAGGAGUAAAUUGCGGUCUCUCGAGAUUAGGCCUUACUGGUCUUGGUUCAUUUCUGGGCUGGCUUUGAGCGGGUAUUGUAUUUUGUGAGAAUAUGGCGGUUGGUCUCGGGUUACUUGUGGCGUAAACAGGGUAAGAAGAGUAAGGAGGCGGUGUUUGGUAGUAAGGGGUUUGAGGAGGAUAAUAGAAAUUCAGAGGUGGAUAAUUUUGAGGUCGGGGUUGGUUUGGAUACGGAUUAGGGGUAUAACGGCAUCCCAUUCCCACCAUAUGGGCUUCUGGUUCUUUCUUCUUCAUGGGUGCUACCCUUCUUGAACUUUCUUGACCUUCCAUUCUACCGCUCUUGACGGCGUUCUCUAUAAACUCACCGAAUAUUACAAUAUCCGCGAACUCCUUCGUGGCGCUUCCCACUAGUUUGUCAUAAAACGGCGUCUUUAAGGUGUUGAUAAAAAGGACAGUUAUCUCCGUUUUCAUUAGUGGGGGUUCCACUUGGGCUGAGACGUCCCUCCAUCUCUGCGCGUACUGUCUAAAAGUUUCUGACGGCUUUUUCUCCAUCAUUUGUAAAGUCAUCCGAUCAGGCACCAUAUCUGAUACAUGCUUGUACUGCUCACAGAAUACCGACGCCAAGUCUUUCCAAGAUCGGAUCCUUUCCUUACUGAGCUUGUUGUACCACCGAAGAGCCGAUCCUACUAGACUGUCUUGAAAACAAUGUACAAGUAGCUUAUCUUCGUUCACGUAACCGGUCAUUUUUCGGUAAAACAUGACAAGAUGUGCUUUUGGACAUCUUGUUCCAUCGUACUUUUUGAAAUCAGGCACCUUGAACUUUGGAGGCAGGAUUAGGUCAGGUACCAAACUGAGUUCUUUAGCACCUAGUACCGAGAAGGCUUCAGUGCCUUCUAUUACCUUGAGUCUUUCUUCCAAACUCCUAUACUUCUCUUGAGCCUCGUGAUCAUCUAUUUUCAACUUGGCUAUUUCGACUGGAUUAUCUAAAUCUGGAACUACAGGAUUGGCAGGGGUUGCUCCAGGAUUUGACAUAAAUGUUCCUUGCCCUAGAUGAGCAAAUGGCAUAGGUCGUUGUUUCAAGCCUGUGGAUUCCCCUUGAGUAUACCCUCUUUGUGCUACGUGGGCAUGUGGUGGAGUGAAUCCUGGGGGAUAGAGUGCAUCCUGGUUAUGAUUAAUUCUUGAUUAAGGUUCCAUACUGUCGGAGUUCUGCAUGGGUCCUUUUCCUUUGACCAAAACUGAUAUCAUCUCCAUCAUUCUAGCCAUUUGAUCCUUUUGUUCAAGUGAUUCCUCUCGAGAUAUUACUAUCAAAUCCCUCGUUUCUUGCUGUGACUUAGCUAGUUGUUCUUGUAAUUCCUUCUGGACUCUUUCCAUCCUUUCGAUUCUUUCAUUGAACUCAACCUCCAUUACUCUAGCUUGUCGACGCGUUUUAUACGAAUGGCAUGGUUCUAGAUUUGAAGUGUUGCAACUUAGGGUUAUAUGAUUCUAACCUUAGCGAAUGAUUAUGGGAUAUGUAUAUGUAAUGAAUGGAUGAAUGAAUGCAAAAAGAGGCGUUGAUUCCAAUUCAAUUUCAUUAGAAAAACUUCACUAGAAGAAAAAUUUCUUUACAUAGAACGAAUGAUUACAUAUACGACUUCGCCCUAAUGCCCAAAGUCUUAAAUUUCCUGAGAAGCCAAGCUAAACUUCGGCCUCAGUCUGAUUCCGACUCGUACUUUAAGCUCAAUAUAUCAGCCUGAACUGCCAAGGUUUGCAAGUGAUCAGCUAUCUCCCGAACCUAAGCUAUAGCUUUGCCCAUAACAUAGUCUCUAUCUCUAAUCUGGUUUUGAGAGUGGUGAAGCUGUUCUCAGUAAUGCUUGUUGUUUGUCUCAAGAAGUUCCACUCGAAUUUUGCUAUCUUGCAGUGCGGUCUCGAGUUCUUCUAUUUUCCCUUUCAACUCUUCAAUCCUGCUCAGACUAGCCUUUAGCUUAAUUAUCGAAUUAUGGCUACGAUGUUGCUGAAGUAAUCUUUCCAAUUCAGCCACCUGAGCUCGUAACUUCUCCUUUUCGUUUUAGGUUUCUAACAAACUCUUCUUCAGAGUGUCCUCUCGUGCUCGGGAAUCUUGAAAUCUUUUCUCCCAAUGGUCGGCUCUAGUCUUUUCCUCUUUAAUCUCUUGACGUCGUUGCUCUGACGUUUUACCUAAUUUGACAGUUUUUAUCGUUAUAUGAAGCUUCUUGUAAUCGGUUUUCAAACUAUCUAAAUCUUCCUCGGCCUUGUUCUUUCCUUUCCUUAACUUCUCGGCCUCUAGCUUGUGGAUAUCGACGUCUAACCCCAACUUCAUUUUAUCUUCUUCUAGCUGCUCUAUCUUCUUCCUCAACUCCGAGUUUUUUUCUCAAAAUCUUGCUUAAUGAUCUCUAACUCGGAUGGGAUGACCGUAAAUGCUACUCUAUCGGUUGUGUGUUCCCUUGAUUCUGCCUAGGGAUGUUGUCGUUGACUCCCCUACCCCACCACCAUUCAUACUCGGGGGUCGUCAUCGGGCCUGCAGUGAAUUCUUUCAUUCUUCGAGUUUGGUUCCAUGCAUCUGAUAUCUCGCGAACCCUCUUUUUAUAAUUGUUGUCUUUAUAGGGGAACUCACAUUGUCCCAACCCUUGUGUCACCGGUAUAAACUGCCUUGAUCGAUACUGCAUUAACACCAUCAGUAGAGCGUAUCCAAUGGCUCCCCAUAUUCCAGCCAGAGGGACCCAGUCAAAAUUACCGCACCUAUAUAAGAUCUCGUCAAGAAUCAACCACGGAGCCCUCCAUUCAACGUCUUCAGCCCGUAAAUUUUGGAGAAUAGUUAUCCACCUCUCUUCAGAGAUGUCGUCCCGCUUCGAUGUGGCCACUAAUUCUCUUAAUGUGGAAUAAUCCUUAGAGAAUACCCGAUAGAAGACAUUCUCCACCUUCCAAAAAUAACUGUGGAACCAAGCCAAAAGAAGCUGUGCGCAACCAAUAAAUCUUCCCUCGCCCGCUCUCCGGCAUGUAUUCAAGGAUCGGAAAGUUUCUGCUAGGAUUGCCGGGACGGGUGUGGUACCUUUAUCAAGUCGAUCGAAUAAAUCUAAGACGGCUUCAUCUAUGUGUCCAAGUGCUUUAGGAAAGACGAUCAAAUCGUAGAGACUUAAGGCAAAAACAUCAACCCUUUUCUUCGAAUCCGGGUGCGUAAGAAUAAAAUCCCUCAAAUUCCUCCAAGGAAUACAUUUACUAUCCCCUUUUUGCUUGAUGCGGGCCGCAACCCAUUGCUCGCUCAUCCCCGUGAUAUUCAUCAAUUUCUUCAAAAAGGGAGGGACAUUAACAGGUCUUGAAUAGGCCCUAUCGGCCUAAAUCUUCGGGCAAUUAAGUAACGCCAUGUAUUCCUCCACCGUAGGUACUAAAUCUACUCCUCCGAAAGUGAAGCAACUGUAAGUGGGGUUCCAAAAUUGCGCGAGGGCCCGGAACAAGUACUUGUCCAACUUUACAUCGAGCAAAUAGGGUAGGUCGCCGUAGUUACAGUAAAACAGUUUUUGGACUUCGCCAUUCCAACUAUUCCAUAUAUCCCUUAACUCUUGCAGGUCAUUUUGAGUCACACUGAUGCGAGUGAAAUCCCACAACUCCGAUUCAUAUCCCUCGGUCAAACUAUCUCCUUUCUCCUAUUGCGUUCUCUCAGACCACACUCGGACGGUCGCAUUAUCCUCCAUUCUAUCAAGAAAUCCUUUUUCCAUGCUAAACUCUUCUAAUUAGUAACCGAAUGCAAAUCAACACCCUUUUAUGAUGAAAUUUCAUGCGAAAAUGAUCAAAAUACAACAAGUUAGUAUUAUAUACAAAGAAUAGAAUUCAAAGCAAAUAGUGAGUAAAUAAGCACCUAAUCAGGUAACCACUAGGGUUUGGUGUGGUUCUACCUAGGGUAGGCUCAUAGGGCUCAUUACAUGUAGUUUGGUUCUAAAGUAAAGGUACCUGAACCAGCAGAUUCCUCGAUCCUCACCCAUUAUAGGUUCAUACAGACCGAGUUCGAUUCAGGGGAAUACAUUUCCCUACGACUAUACGGAGGUGAAAACCUCACGAAGACACAGGUACGGAUGUAUCCCGAAAGCGAUCCACUAUCCUAUACGGAGGUGAAGACCUCACGAAGGAGUAGUUUUUCACUUCCACUUAAGAGGGUGAAAUUGACCAAUAAUGCGAUGCGAUAUGCAAAGAUACCUCAAAGAAUUAAACCACUUAAAACAAGCAUAUUAUGAAGAGAGUCGCGAAAAUAACAGACAACAUGCAAUGCAGUAAAUUUAAAAUCGAUUUUCGAUUUUUGACAAAAGAAAAAAAUAAUCAAUUUAAGGCUUGACUCUCGAGCAUCCCCAGUGGAGUCGCCAAGCUGUCGAAACCAUUCUUUUGAAAACGGGGAUCGACUUUGUUUGAAAGUGAAAAUUAAAACGGGAGUCGCCACCAAUCUUUUAUCAGGUGUGAUCGGAUCACCUUUGUUUUAAUAAAUCAAUUUUAGUUUACUAAAACAGGGCCUUUGGUCUACGAAACUUGAGAGAAUGAGUUCGGGAGUCGGUUACGUGUGAGGAAAGAUUAGCACCCUCGACACGCCCAAAAAAUUGGUACCGAAUUGAUUAGUUAAUGUCUUAAUGUCGAAAAUUAAAAAUCGGGCAGGGACUUGAAAUACGAUCUUUUCUAUUAAUACUGAUUUUAAAAUUCUUGAAUUAGCUUAAAUCGAUUUGUUUAAAGAUUUCCUUAUCUCAAGAUAUCGGAGUAUCAUAUCCCGUAAGUUAGGACAUAAUACCAUGAAUUCCCGAGCACAAGGUCUUCUUUUAAUUUAAAUUGGAAAUCCAUGCAUUUCAAAACUCAAAAGGAUAUUUAGCUAUUUAAAACCAACGAGAGAACCGAAACCCCGUAAGUUAGGGCACAAUUCUUCGAUGUUCCAAAAUGCGAAACAUUGCCUUAUUUAUUGAAAUUAAUUAAAACAUGAGAAAAAAUAUUCCUAAAGUGAGAAAUUAAAAAUAGAUAAACGACGCAAAAAAUGAUAUCAUUAAUGAAAAAUAUUAACAUGGAAUACUAGAAUAUUAGAAUAACAAUAACAAUGAUAUUUACAAAAAAAAAAAGAAAAUAAAAACAACUCAUGUACUAAUAAUAAAAUAGGAAAAAUGAUAUAUUUGGUAAUAAUAAUAUAAAAUAAUAAUAUGUACAUAAAAAUACAUAUAUAUAUGUGCAUAUAAUAAAAGUAUGUAAUAAUAAUAAUAAUAAUAUCUACAAUAAAAGAAAAUAUUAGGAAACGUACAUAAAAAAUAUAUACAUAAAAAAAUUUACAACAAUAAUAUAAAAUAAUGAUAUGUACAAAUAUAUAUAUUCCUUCCCAUCAAAACUCAGCACAUCAGCGGGGACUAAAUUGAAAAUCGCGCCAAAUUUUAGGGCCAAAUUAAAAAAAACGAAUAAUGACUUAAUUGCAAAGCAAUAAAGAGCGGAAGGGCUAAAAGCGAAUUAGCCCUUCCUUUAAAAAAAACACGCGGAUCCUAGACGGGUCGGGUCGGGUCGAAUCGGUCCAAGUCAAAACGACGUCGUUUUGGGGUUUAAUGGCCAACCCCUAAAUGACGUCGUUUGGGGGGCUAUAAAAAGCCCUUUUUCUUCAAAAAAAAUUCAUUCUUGCACUUGAAAAAGAAAAAAAAAAGAGAGGGAGAGGGGUGAGGUGAUUUCUGGCCACAAGACCGGUCACCAUCCGGUCACCAGACCGCCAAAGGUAAAAAAAAUUAUUUUUUUAAUAAUAUAUAUGUAUAUGUAUAUGUAUAUAAAAAGAAAGAAAGAAAAAAAACAAAAAGAAACAGAAAAGAUUCGAAAGAAAAAAAAGAUGCAAACCUUUUUAUUAAUUUUCUUUUGUAUUCAAAAUUUGGAGGGAUUUUUGUGUGUCUUUUUUUUUCAAUCUUCUAAACCCCCCUUACAUGAUUUUUGAAUGGCUUUUUAUAGCCAUCUUUUACAUCAUUUUCUAUUAUUUCUUUUUCUAUUUCUUUUGUAGGUAAUGGUGGCAGACAAUGGAUAUCAAAAAUGGAAAGAAAAUGGGGCAAGUGGGAAAGUGGCUAGGUGGCUAGGGUUUCUUCCUUUCUCUUUUUGGUGGAAAAUGUUUAGUACUAGUGGGCUAGGUUUAGGGUUUGUGAAUUGGGUAUGUAAUGGACCAUUGGGUUUGGGCUGUUUAACUAUUGGGUUAUUUGUAAAUGGACUGGGCCAAAAUUG
rnacentral:lncRNA from 1 species